rnacentral:rRNA from 1 species
GACGAACGCUGGCGGCGUGCCUAAUACAUGCAAGUCGAACGCAGUGGGGACGGGUGAGUAACACGUGGGUAACCUCCCAUCAGAGGGGAUAACACUUGGAAACAGGUGCUAAACCGAUACUGAUGGAUGGAACCGCGGUGCAUUAGCUAGUUGGGGGGGUAACGGCUCACCAAGGCCACGAUGCAUCGCCGAGCGUGGAGGGAGGACGGGCACACCGGGAAUGAGACAAGGCCCAGAAUCCUACGGGAGGCAACAGUAGGGAAUCUUCGGCAAUGGGCGAAAGGCGGACCGAACAACGCCGGGUGAGUGAAGAAGGUUUUCGGGUCGGAAAACUCUGUUGUUAGAGAAGCGGUAUCUAAAGAGAAAGCCACGGCUAACUACGUGCCAGCAGCCGCGGUAAUAC